rnacentral:rRNA from 1 species
UACGGAAGGCAGCAGUGGGGAAUAUUGCACAAUGGGCGCAAGCCUGAUGCAGCCAUGCCGCGUGUAUGAAAAAGGCCUUCGGGUUGUAAAGUACUUUCAGUCGUGAGGAAGGUGUUAAGGUUAAUAACCUUAGCAAUUGACGUUAGCGACAGAAGAAGCACCGGCUAACUCCGUGCCAGCAGCCGCGGUAAUACGGAGGGUGCGAGCGUUAAUCGGAAUUACUGGGCGUAAAGGGCACGCAGGCGGUUAAUUAAGUUGGAUGUGAAAUCCCCGGGCUUAACCUGGGAAUGGCAUUCAAGACUGGUUAGCUAGAGUCUUGUAGAGGGGGUUAGAAUUCCAUGUGUAGCGGUGAAAUGCGUAGAGAUGUGGAGGAUACCGGUGGCGAAGGCGCCCCGUGGACAAAGACUGACGCUCAUGUGCGAAAGCGUGGGGAGCAAACGAGGAUUAGAUAC